rnacentral:rRNA from 1 species
UACAGAGGGGGCAAGCGUUGCUCGGAAUCACUGGGCGUAAAGGGUGCGUAGGCGGGUCUUUAAGUCGAGGGGUGAAAUCCUGGAGCUCAACUCCAGAACUGCCUUUGAUACUGAGGAUCUUGAGUACGGGAGAGGUGAGUGGAACUGCGAGUGUAGAGGUGAAAUUCGUAGAUAUUCGCAAGAACACCAGUGGCGAAGGCGGCUCACUGGCCCGUUACUGACGCUGAGGCACGAAAGCGUGGGGAGCAAACAGG